rnacentral:tRNA from 1 species
CAAGAUAUAGCUAGUUAGUAAAGCUAUUCUUUUACACAGAGUUGAGAUUCGUGCAAGUCGAGUUAUCUUGA